rnacentral:rRNA from 1 species
CUAGAUUCGCGGCCUAUCAGCUUGUUGGUGGGGUAACGGCCUACCAAGGCAACGACGGGUAGCUGGUCUGAGAGGAUGUCCAGCCACACUGGGACUGAGACACGGCCCAGACUCCUACGGGAGGCAGCAGUUAGGAAUCUUGCGCAAUGGGCGAAAGCCUGACGCAGCGACGCCGCGUGCGGGACGAAGGCCUUCGGGUCGUAAACCGCUUUCAGCAGGGACGAUUGUGACGGUACCUGCAGAAGAAGCCCCGGCCAACUACGUGCCAGCAGCCGCGGUAAUACGUAGGGGGCGAGCGUUGUCCGGAUUUAUUGGGCGUAAAGAGCUCGUAGGCGGUUUGGUAAGUCGGGUGUGAAAUCUCCACGCUCAACGUGGAGGGGCCACUCGAUACUGCCAUGACUCGAGUCCGGUAGAGGAGUGUGGAAUUCCCGGUGUAGCGGUGAAAUGCGCAGAUAUCGGGAGGAACACCUGUAGCGAAGGCGGCACUCUGGGCCGGAACUGACGCUGAGGAACGAAAGCGUGGGGAGCAAACAGGAUUAGGUACCCUGGUAGUCCACGCCGUAAACGUUGGGCACUAGGUGUGGGGAUCUAUCGACGGUUUCCGUGCCGAAGCUAACGCAUUAAGUGCCCCGCCUGGGGAGUACGA